GAUGUGUGAAAGAUGACUGGAGUUUCUUAAUCAUUUUGGAGAUAGAAGUUGGUUUAACGUUGUACAAAGUUUGUGAACGUUCUCCACAAGGAAAUUUGACUAUUUCAAAUCCUACCAUGAAGGACACCUAUAGCAUUGGAACAUAAAUGCCUAAUUUGUUUGUUGAUUUCUGGUUUUGAUCACUGCAACCUAUUGUUCUGUUGCAUUGUCAAUGAUGUUAUGGUUGACAGGUGGCAUCUUUUCUCUUCAAUAUGAACUUUUUGUCUCAGAAUACCUGAACAAAUAUUUUUCUCUUUUUGGAGCUGGAGUUAUAUCUGACUUACAGCAUCUGAACUCUGAGGACUUAAAAUUUUCUGCUUUUGAUCAUUAUAACCUGUGGCAUUGUCAAUGAUGUUAU
rnacentral:misc_RNA from 1 species